rnacentral:rRNA from 1 species
GCGAUCUGCUGGGAUGAUACUGACGCUGAGGCACGAAAGCGUGGGGAGCAAACAGGAUUAGAUACCCUGGUAGUCCCACGCCCUAAACGAUGAAUGCUAGUCGUCGGGGAGCUCGUCUCUUCGGUGAUGCACUUAACAGAUUAAGCAUUCCGCCUGGGGAGUACGGUCGCAAGAUUAAAACUCAAAGGAAUAGACGGGGACCCGCACAAGUGGUGGAGCAUGUGGUUUAAUUCGAAGAUACACGAAGAACCUUACCUGGCCUUGACAUGGUAGGAACCCUUAAGAGAUUAGGGGGUGCUAGCUUGCUAGAACCUACACACAGGUGCUGCACGGCUGUCGUCAGCUCGUGUCGUGAGAUGUUGGGUUAAGUCCCGCAACGAGCGCAACCCUCGUCUUUAGUUGCUAACAGUUUGGCUGAGCACUCUAAAGAGACUGCCUUCGUAAGGAGGAGGAAGGUGAGGACGACGUCAAGUCAUCAUGGCCCUUACGGCCAGGGCUACACACGUGCUACAAUGGGGCGUACAAAGAGCUGCAAUACCGCGAGGUGGAGCCAAUCUCUUAAAGCGUCUCUCAGUUCGGAUUGUUCUCUGCAACUCGAGAACAUGAAGCUGGAAUCACUAGUAAUCGUAGAUCAGCUAUGCUACGGUGAAUACGUUCCCGGGUCUUGUACUCACCGCCCGUCACACCAUGGGAGUUGAUUUCACCCGAAAUCGGGAUGCCAAACUGGCUACCGCUU